ACCGAAGAACACGGGAGUCCCGGCGAGCGGGGACUGAGAGUGGGCGCGCGUGCCCUUACCGUCACACCUGAUCCGGGUCAUGCCGGCGAAGGGAGCACAGGAUGCCCAACU
rfam:Mycobacterium sp. E787 contig_63, whole genome shotgun sequence.